rnacentral:lncRNA from 7 species
CAGGUGUACAACUUGGAAGAAAUAAUAUUAUGACUAGAUCCAAUUUUUUCUUUACAUUCUUUAAAAGACAAAAAUCAUCAUUGCAGAGAUAAUAUUCAUAUCUAGCAAACAAGUCAAGACAGUACAAUGUAAAAUACAAGGAUUUAACUAUAACUGUCAAUUAGUUGUAAAAUACAUGCUGUUAAAUUAACUGAGGUUGCCUUUUUUUUUUUUUGUGGUGGUGGUGGUGGGUUUUGUUGUUAUUUUAAAAAUUAAAGUCUCAUUAAAUUUGCCAUGAAAAUUGUAUUAAUAGCAUUUUUGUUAGGUCCUGCAAAGUACUGUGCAGAAUUAAUAUCUACAAAAAAAGGUGGACAAGGUACUGUAGGUGGUGAGAGCAGCCUGUGGAGGAGGAGACUGAAGUGGAACCCAUGAGGUGUGUGGCUGCCUUGCUUUUGCCCUUUCUUCUUCGUGCUGAUUCAGAACUGACAGGGCUUUCUGAUUUACAAGUAGUUAU